rnacentral:rRNA from 1 species
CCUACGGGAGGCAGCAGUAGGGAAUCUUCCACAAUGGACGAAAGUCUGAUGGAGCAACGCCGCGUGAGCGAUGAAGGCCUUCGGGUCGUAAAGCUCUGUUGUUAGGGAAGAACAAGUAUCGGAGUAACUGCCGGUACCUUGACGGUACCUGACCAGAAAGCCACGGCUAACUACGUGCCAGCAGCCGCGGUAAUACGUAGGUGGCAAGCGUUGUCCGGAAUUAUUGGGCGUAAAGCGCGCGCAGGCGGUUCCUUAAGUCUGAUGUGAAAGCCCCCGGCUCAACCGGGGAGGGUCAUUGGAAACUGGGGAACUUGAGUGCAGAAGAGGAGAGCGGAAUUCCACGUGUAGCGGUGAAAUGCGUAGAGAUGUGGAGGAACACCAGUGGCGAAGGCGGCUCUCUGGUCUGUAACUGACGCUGAGGCGCGAAAGCGUGGGGAGCGAACAGGAUUAGAUACCCUGGUAGUCCACGCCGUAAACGAUGAGUGCUAAGUGUUAGAGGGUUUCCGCCCUUUAGUGCUGCAGCAAACGCAUUAAGCACUCCGCCUGGGGAGUACGGCCGCAAGGCUGAAACUUAAAGGAAUUGACGG